rnacentral:rRNA from 1 species
AGCCAUACCACACUGAAUUCAUCUGAUCUCAGAGGCUAAGCAGGGUCAGGCCUGAUUACUCCUUGGAUGGGAGAAAUUAGGCAAUAAUGUUU